rnacentral:tRNA from 1 species
UCCCUGGUGGCUCAGAUGGUAAAGCAUCUGCCUGCAAUGCGGGAGACCCAGGUUCGAUCCCUGGGUUGAGAA